GACGAACCGUGCAAACGUUGUUCGGAUUCACUGGGCUUAAAGGGCGCGUAGGCGGCUUGCCAAGUCAGGGGUGAAAUACUUCGGCUCAACCGGAGAACAGCUUCUGAUACUGGCGAGCUGGAGGGAGGUAGGGGCAGAUGGAACUUCCGGUGGAGCGGUGAAAUGCGUAGAUAUCGGAAGGAACGCCGGUGGCGAAAGCGAUCUGCUGGACCUCUUCUGACGCUGAGGCACGAAAGCGUGGGGAGCAAACAGG
rnacentral:rRNA from 1 species